UACGGAGGGUGCAAGCGUUGCUCGGAAUUAUUGGGCGUAAAGGGGAGGUAGGUGGUCUCGUUUGUCCGGGGUGAAAUCCCUGAGCUUAACUCAGGACGUGCCUCGGAAACGGCGAGACUGGAGUACUGGAGAGGCUAGCGGAAUACCCGGUGUAGCGGUGAAAUGCGUAGAGAUCGGGUGGAACACCAGAGGCGAAGGCGGCUAGCUGGACAGUUACUGACACUCAACUCCGAAAGCGUGGGGAGCAAACAGG
rnacentral:rRNA from 1 species